UCAAUAAGCGGAGGAAAAGAAACCAACAGGGAUUGCCUUAGUAGCGGCGAGUGAAGCGGCAAAAGCUCAAAUUUGAAAUCUGGCACCUUCGGUGUCCGAGUUGUAAUUUGAAGAUUGUAACCUUGGGGUUGGCUCUUGUCUAUGUUUCUUGGAACAGGACGUCACAGAGGGUGAGAAUCCCGUGCGAUGAGAUGCCCAAUCCUAUGUAAGGUGCUUUCGAAGAGUCGAGUUGUUUGGGAAUGCAGCUCUAAGUGGGUGGUAAAUUCCAUCUAAAGCUAAAUAUUGGCGAGAGACCGAUAGCGAACAAGUACAGUGAUGGAAAGAUGAAAAGAACUUUGAAAAGAGAGUGAAAAAGUACGUGAAAUUGUUGAAAGGGAAGGGUUUGAGAUCAGACUCGAUAUUUUGUGAGCCUUGCCUUCGUGGCGGGGUGACCCGCAGCUUAUCGGGCCAGCAUCGGUUUGGGCGGUAGGAUAAUGGCGUAGGAAUGUGACUUUGCUUCGGUGAAGUGUUAUAGCCUGCGUUGAUGCUGCCUGCCUAGACCGAGGACUGCGAUUUUAUCAAGGAUGCUGGCAUAAUGAUCCCAAACCGCCCGUCUUGAAACACGGACCAAGGAGUCUAACGUCUAUGCGAGUGUUUGGGUGUUAAA
rnacentral:rRNA from 1 species